CCAAAGGUCGGGAGGCGAACGGACGAGAAGCUUGCUUCUCUGAUGUUAGCGGCGGACGGGUGAGUAACACGUGGAUAACCUACCUAUAAGACUGGGAUAACUUCGGGAAACCGGAGCUAAUACCGGAUAAUAUUUUGAACCGCAUGGUUCAAAAGUGAAAGACGGUCUUGCUGUCACUUAUAGAUGGAUCCGCGCUGCAUUAGCUAGUUGGUAAGGUAACGGCUUACCAAGGCAACGAUGCAUAGCCGACCUGAGAGGGUGAUCGGCCACACUGGAACUGAGACACGGUCCAGACUCCUACGGGAGGCAGCAGUAGGGAAUCUUCCGCAAUGGGCGAAAGCCUGACGGAGCAACGCCGCGUGAGUGAUGAAGGUCUUCGGAUCGUAAAACUCUGUUAUUAGGGAAGAACAUAUGUGUAAGUAACUGUGCACAUCUUGACGGUACCUAAUCAGAAAGCCACGGCUAACUACGUGCCAGCAGCCGCGGUAAUACGUAGGUGGCAAGCGUUAUCCGGAAUUAUUGGGCGUAAAGCGCGCGUAGGCGGUUUUUUAAGUCUGAUGUGAAAGCCCACGGCUCAACCGUGGAGGGUCAUUGGAAACUGGAAAACUUGAGUGCAGAAGAGGAAAGUGGAAUUCCAUGUGUAGCGGUGAAAUGCGCAGAGAUAUGGAGGAACACCAGUGGCGAAGGCGACUUUCUGGUCUGUAACUGACGCUGAUGUGCGAAAGCGUGGGGAUCAAACAGGAUUAGAUACCCUGGUAGUCCACGCCGUAAACGAUGAGUGCUAAGUGUUAGGGGGUUUCCGCCCCUUAGUGCUGCAGCUAACGCAUUAAGCACUCCGCCUGGGGAGUACGACCGCAAGGUUGAAACUCAAAGGAAUUGACGGGGACCCGCACAACCGGUGGAACAUGUGGUUUAAUUCGAAGCAACGCGAAGAACCUUACCAAAUCUUGACAUCCUUUGACAACUCUAGAGAUAGAGCCUUCCCCUUCGGGGAACAAAGU
rnacentral:rRNA from 1 species